AAUGAACGCUGGCGGCGUGCCUAACACAUGCAAGUCGAGCGAGAAAGUCUCUUCGGAGAUGAGUACAGCGGCGGACGGGUGAGUAACACGUGAGUUAUCUGCCCUUUAGUGAAGGAUACCCUCGAGAAAUCGAGGUUAAUACUGCAUAUAUCCCUUCGGGGAAAAAGGUGGCUUUAUGCUAUCGCUAAAGGAUGAGCUUGCGGACUAUUAGCUAGUUGGUAGGGUAAAGGCCUACCAAGGCGAUGAUGGUUAGCCGGCCUGAGAGGGUGAUCGGCCACAUUGGAACUGAGAUACGGUCCAGACUCCUACGGGAGGCAGCAGUGGGGAAUAUUGCGCAAUGGGCGAAAGCCUGACGCAGCGACGCCGCGUGGAGGAUGAAGGUCUUCGGAUUGUAAACUUCUGUUAGGUGGGAAGAAAAGCUUGUUUUUAAUACAGACAAGAAAUGACGGUACCAUCAAAGAAAGCACUGGCUAACCUCGUG
rnacentral:rRNA from 1 species